rnacentral:rRNA from 1 species
CAGUAGCCACGGUAAUACGUAGGUGGCAAGCGUUGUCCGGAAUUAUUGGGCGUAAAGGGCUCGCAGGCGGUUUCUUAAGUCUGAUGUGAAAGCCCCCGGCUCAACCGGGGAGGGUCAUUGGAAACUGGGAAACUUGAGUGCAGAAGAGGAGAGUGGAAUUCCACGUGUAGCGGUGAAAUGCGUAGAGAUGUGGAGGAACACCAGUGGCGAAGGCGACUCUCUGGUCUGUAACUGACGCUGAGGAGCGAAAGCGUGGGGAGCGAACAGGAUUAGAUACCCCUGUAGUCCCUGUCUCUUAUAA